AUUGAACGCUGGCGGCAGGCUUAACACAUGCAAGUCGAGCGGGGGAGGUUGCUUCGGUAACUGACCUAGCGGCGGACGGGUGAGUAAUGCUUAGGAAUCUGCCUAUUAGUGGGGGACAACAUUCCGAAAGGGAUGCUAAUACCGCAUACGCCCUACGGGGGAAAGCAGGGGAUCUUCGGACCUUGCGCUAAUAGAUGAGCCUAAGUCGGAUUAGCUAGUUGGGGGGGUAAAGGCCUACCAAGGCGACGAUCUGUAGCGGGUCUGAGAGGAUGAUCCGCCACACUGGGACUGAGACACGGCCCAGACUCCUACGGGAGGCAGCAGUGGGGAAUAUUGGACAAUGGGCGGAAGCCUGAUCCAGCCAUGCCGCGUGUGUGAAGAAGGCCUUUUGGUUGUAAAGCACUUUAAGCGAGGAGGAGGCUACUAGUACUAAUACUACUGGAUAGUGGACGUUACUCGCAGAAUAAGCACCGGCUAACUCUGUGCCAGCCGCCGCGGUAACAC
rnacentral:rRNA from 1 species